rnacentral:lncRNA from 1 species
AUUUAUGAAUAUCUCUCAUGCUCAUUUUAUAAUCAGUUACACUCUAAACUCUAAUGUCUUCUGUUUUCUGUGGAUCAUACAUUACAGACAAAUAUUGUUCUCAACAGUAAAUUACAAAAAUGGUCCCUGCGUUUUCUGAUUAUUACCGUGUUUACUCCACACUUGCAUUCAUGUUGCUUUUGGUUCAUGGAGCAAAAUCGAUAUGAAACCUUGUAAUAAGGAUUAAAUUCAGAAAGUCCCAGGGACCAAAAUUGAUAUGAAACCUUGUAAUAAGGACCAAAUUUGAAAAAAAAAACAAAGUUUCAGUAUUGGACUAAAAAGCACAAGUACCAUUUUUUUUUAAUCUGCUAUUUUCUUAAUUAACAGAGCAUGGAGAAGGGCUACAAGUUCUUCAC